GGGAACAGUAACAGAAUUUCAAAACCCAGGAGACAACUAAGGAGGAAUGAAGAUAACAAUUAACCUAGAGAGAACUAAAGAACUGUCAAUGACUCUGAACAGAGUUCCCCCAUAUACCCCUGAGCCAACAGAAAGCACAUCAGAUAAGGAAAUUGAACCUUAGAACUUCAUUAAUUUGCCCAUAUUUUCAGAGGGAUAAGAUUUAAAAACAGGGCUUCUUACACCAGAGUCCAUGAGCUUAGCUGAAACCUCUAACUUUGCCAGUCUACUUCCCAAGCUUAUGACACACAAUUAAGAAAACAGGGAGAAAAAGACAGGCUUGGUCAGCUGGGACAAGGGAUUCAACAAAAGAACAAAAAGUAGGGAGGACUUCUGGAAGUUUUUCAAAGAGGACUGGAAAAGAAGAGGAAUAGAAAUAUAUGAAAAUUUAGCCAGAAGAAUACCAGGUUUGAAGAAAUGAUUGCUUUGUCACUUAAACAGUAGGUGGAGAUGGAUGGACAAGAAGAACAAAGACAAAGAGAUGAAGGAAACUGAAACAAUAGGAUAGAAGAGUUUAAAGUAUGAACUAAUGAUUUGAUGUCUCUAUUUUCUGGGUAAUUUUUGGUAAUUGUAUUUAUAAUCUUAAAUAUAUCAUUAUGUUUUAAAUAAAACAUCA